rnacentral:lncRNA from 1 species
UAGGACCCAUCUCUACAAUUUCUUAAGCCACCAAACACAUCCCAACUUACAAUAACAACAAUGGCAUCUUGUAAGACUCUUCUUUUCCUUCUGUUUGCUCUCUUUGCUCUUGUUCUCCUUGUUUCUGCUGAAGUCUCCUCUACAACUCCCACAAGUAAGUUCCAUGAUCAGGACAUUCGAAAUGCAAACUCUACUUCUCGUAGUCGGGCUCGAAAAAAAAAAGAUGAAUGAACAUUCGCCCACCGUGGGGUUUCAAACCCACGACCACAAGGUUAAGAGCCUUGCGCUCUACCAACUGCGCUAGACAAGCUUGACUAGUGAAAAUGUUGUGUAUUAAUUACUUACUAGUAUAGUUACACCAAUGCACUAAUUUUCUUAACAUGAAUGUUCUUUCUAUAUUGUUACAAAGGUGAUGAAGUGAAAGGUGCGGACCAAUACAGAGGAGGAGGCGGUGGUGACUACCCUGGUCGUGGAGGUGGACGCGGUGGUGACUACCCUGGCAGGGGAGGAGGAGGUGGCGGUGGCCACCCUGGCCGCGGAGGAGGAGGAGGAGGUGGAAGGUGCUACUACGGUUGUUGCAGAGGGUACCGUUACUCGUAUGGAUGCAAAAGGUGUUGCGCCAAUGCUAACGAGGCUCCCGAUGCUUUAUUCGAGGACGAUGUCAAGAACUAGUGGGUUAAUUGUGCCAAUGAAUUACAAUGUUAUGAAUAAAUACAGAUGAUGAUGAGUCCUUUCCUUUGGAUUUUUGUUUAGAUUUUCGGCACUUGAGUGUGUCGAAAUCGAUUUCUAGUUACUAUGUUACGCUCGAUUAAAGCCAUAAUCAAUAAAAGCUUUGUAGUGAUAUGGUGAAUGUGUCACUACAAUAAAAUAGUUACCUAGUUGUGGCCGUUGCUAGGAUGGUUUAACCGUGGGCACUAAUCAACUGUUAGGCUCAUCAAUAUUAGGUCUGUCUAAC